UGCAUAAUCAUCCAGUUGUAUUUUCGUUUAAGGCAUAACUAGAGAGAAAUCGGGAAGUAAAGCUUAAGCCUAAUUAUAAAGCUACAUUCACGAACUGUUUAAUCAGUAAGAAAUUCCUUAAGGCAUACGCUACAUAAAUUGUGCAGCUUUAUUCGUUCAUAUCGCAACAUUGAUUAAGGAAGUUUAUUUUACGAUUUGCGGUAAGUUACAUUUAUCCCUAACCUAUCCUUGCGCAUUGUAUUUAAAACAACCGUAUUAGGAAAACAUAUUAUCGGGACUAAAAACAAAACUAACCAUUAAAUCCGAUAUAGUUCAUCUGACUGAACAGUGAAAAUGGCGGACAACAGAGCAUAUGGAACUAUGCCGCCCGGAGCCCCUGGUCCACACCAACCAUCCCCAGGGCCAUACCCUCCGAUCGGGCAGUAUAUGCCUGUAACACCUAAUUGUAUGGCAUGUCGGGUUGGCUUCAUGCAAGAGGGGUACUCCAUUGUUGGUAUUAUACUUGCCAUCGUCUUUUUCCCUAUCGGCAUCCUUUGCUGUCUGAUGAUGAAAGAGAAGAAGUGUUCAAACUGUGGGUCUACCGUUUCCAUGUAAAGCCGGGAUAUCAACGAACUUAUAAUGAAGAAAGAGUGGUGUUGAUGUGUACAUAUCUCACAAUGUGCCUGCAUUAUUUCUACAUGGAUCCAUAACCCUACUUACAUAGCAUUAUUGUAGAUGUAAGGGAAAUUCUCAUUUCACACCGUGUAUAAAUUGUUAAGAACAAUCCUUCUCCUAAUCUCUCUAAAUAAUAACUGAGUACAUUUUAAUUAAUUUUCUAAGUUUUCUUAAUCUUGUUCUAUCCCGCUUAAUUUAUGAAACAUAUGGUCCAUUUAUACACAAGAACGUUUGCACUUAAAGAAAACCCGUGUUAGGGAAAACAAAUCUUGUAACUGAAACCGCACUCAGCGGGAUUUGAGUCAUAUCGAUGUUUUUCAUUUAAAACUUCCUGUUCAAAUAACAUCCAUAUCUAUAGAACACGCUUCCGGGUUUGAUGGGCCACGUAAUAGUGGUAUAGAUGCUCUGUGGUGUUCUGCAUUUGCUUUUCAAAACUUAAGUGUAUGUAGCAAGUGUUCACCGUAACUAGUACUGUUUUUCGACCAUUUGUGUUGACAAUAAUACAUAUAAAUACAUUGCAGUGGUAAUUAUUAUGUUACUAGUUCUAACAUUUAUAAAAAUAAUGUUGUUCAUGAUGAUAAUGAUGACUUUUUUAUUAUUGUUAUUAUUAUUAUUAUUAUUAUUAUUUUAUAAUUACGAAUGCAACAAUGACUGGAAAAGCUUGUGCAUGACAUAAGUAAAAAAAAGGCUUCAAUGUCAACAAACGAUAUCACAAACAAGCAGAAGCAAACGGUUGACUGUCAUAUUUUCUUCUCUGUUUGUUAGCAGUAAGAAGAACUGAUUUUAAUCUUAUACAUUACUUAGUUGGUCGUAUGAGUAUGUAAACUGUAAAUUGCGUUUCAAAUGUAACAUUUACAAACGAAUUGCACUCAAAAACUUUGAGAUACAUGUAUUACUGUAUAAGCAUAUGAAAAUUAACGAUUACGUCUGUACACAACAACGUCGUUUACUGAACAUAUACAAACUCACAUUUUAAUUUUUUCGAGUAAGGUUUAAAUGUGUUGGGUUUGUAGUAUGUUUGAAACAAAUGCGUUUGAUAUAGAGGUACACCAAAUGAGGUCUUAUGUUUUAGACAACAAUAUAAGGCACACGGUUUAUAAACAUUAUUUAAGUUUCAGCAAGAAAUUAGUAAGGUGAAAUGUUUUUGUACGAAGGAAGAAUGUUUAACAAUAAGUUAAUGUAGAUUGUUACGAACGUUUUAAUUAAGGUCGAUGUAUUCAUAAACCGGAGGGUGUAAACUUGAAAAAAGGAAACAAAAUAGAUGCCAGAAAGUUUGAAACAAAUAGUUUACUUUAUUAUUAGUGUUUUUAUUGGGUUUGGUCAUGUUGUUUGUUUCUGUAAAAAUAAGUGUAUUGUUAUUUAUUUACAAAAUUAGCUUAAAAAUAGUUUUGUUAGAUAAUUGUAUCUUAUUUGACAAUUAAAUUGCUAAACAUG